rnacentral:rRNA from 1 species
GGCGAGUGAAGAGGGAAGAGCUCAGUUUUGAAAUCUGGCAGUCAUUCCACUGUCCGAGUUGUAAAUUGAAGAGAAUGUCAUCCACACUGGACCAUGUCUAAAUUCCACAGGAUGGAGUAUCAGAGAGGGUAAUAAUCCCGUCUUUAACGUGGACCACCAGUGUUUAUGUGAUGCACUCUCUCAGAGUCGAGUAGUUUGGGAAUGCUGCUCUAAUGGGAGGUAAACUCCUUCUAAAGCUAAAUAUUGGCGAGAGACCGAUAGCGAACAAGUACCGUGAGGGAAAGAUGAAAAGAACUCUGAAAAGAGAGUCAAACAGAACGUGAAAUUGCUGAAAGGGAAGCGUUUGGAGUCAGAUGCAUCCUCAAUGUAAUACGGCUCAGUUGGCAGAGACUGAGAGCAGUGACUUGAAGAUGGGCCAGCACUCACGUAGAUCAUUGGAGAAGGGGUCAUGGAAUGUAGCUCAAUUCUUGAGUGUUUAUAGACUUGAUUCAUAUACAAUGUGUCUUAUGUGUGCAGCACGAGUGUUGGAUUCAUGGUUGGAUUGGAUUAUGGGUUCUAACCAACCCGCUUGAAACCCCGACCCAGGGAUCCUAACUGGAUUGCAAGUAUAAAAUGGAUUGAACUUUUGAUGGCUUAUGGAAGUGGGUCCUGGACUGAGAUUCUUCAUUAUGG